AGUGAACGCUGGCGGUAGGCCUAACACAUGCAAGUCGAACGGCAGCACAGUAAGAGCUUGCUCUUACGGGUGGCGAGUGGCGGACGGGUGAGGAAUACAUCGGAAUCUACUUUUUCGUGGGGGAUAACGUAGGGAAACUUACGCUAAUACCGCAUACGACCUAAGGGUGAAAGCAGGGGAUCUUCGGACCUUGUGCGAUUGAAUGAGCCGAUGUCGGAUUAGCUGGUUGGCGGGGUAAAGGCCCACCAAGGCGACGAUACGUAGCUGGUCUGAGAGGAUGAUCAGCCACCCUGGAACUGAGACACGGUCCAGACUCCUACGGGAGGCAGCAGUGGGGAAUAUUGGACAAUGGGCGCAAGCCUGAUCCAGCCAUACCGCGUGGGUGAAGAAGACCUUCGGGUUGUAAAGCCCUUUUGUUGGGAAAGAAAAGCAGCAGGUUAAUACCCCGCUGUUCUGACGGUACCCAAUGAAUAAGCACCGGCUAACUUCGUG
rnacentral:rRNA from 1 species